rnacentral:tRNA from 1 species
UGCCGCCAUAACUCAGCUGGUAGAGUGCCUGGCUGUUAACCAGGAUGUCACAGGUUCGAGCCCUGUUGGCGGCGUCCA